rnacentral:rRNA from 1 species
AGAGUUUGAUCAUGGCUCAGAAUGAACGCUGGCGGCAUGGAUUAGGCAUGCAAGUCGAACGGGACGCAGCAAUGCGUCCAGUGGCGAAAGGGUGAGUAGCACGUGAAGAACCUGCCCCCGGAUCCGGAACAAGCGCUGGAAACGGCGUCUGAUACGGGAUGUGGCGGGGAGCCGCAUGGCUCCCCCGCUAAAGAUUCAUCGUCCGGGGAGGGCUUCGCGUCCCAUUAGCUUGUUGGCGGGGUAACGGCCCACCAAGGCUGCGACGGGUAGGUGGUCUGAGAGGAUGGUCACCCACACUGGGACUGAGACACUGCCCAGACUCCUACGGGAGGCUGCAGUCGAGAAUCUUCCGCAAUGGGGGCAACCCUGAACCGGAGCGAUGCCGCGUGAGGGAUGUAGGCCUUCGGGUCGUGAACCUCUGUCACCCGGGACGAAGGAAGUGACGGUACCGGGGGAGGAAGCCAUGGCUAACUACGUGCCAGCAGCCGC